CGGUAUAUAGCUCAGUGGUAGAGCUCAUGCUUAGCAUGCACGAGGUUCUGGGUUCAAUCCCCAGUACCUCUA
rnacentral:tRNA from 1 species